AGAAACUUAGGUUAAUCUAC
rnacentral:tRNA from 1 species